rnacentral:rRNA from 1 species
AACGAACGCUGGCGGCAGGCUUAGCACAUGCAAGUCGAACGGGUGUAGCAAUACAUCAGUGGCAGACGGGUGAGUAACACGUGGGAACCUUCCUCGGGGUACGGAACAACUCAGGGAAACUUGAGCUAAUACCGUAUACGUCCGAGAGGAGAAAGAUUUAUCGCCCUGAGCCGGGCCCGCGUCGGAUUAGCUAGUCGGUGGGGUAACGGCCUACCAAGGCGACGAUCCGUAGCUGAUCUUAGAGGAUGAUCAGCCACACUGGGACUGAGACACGGCCCAGACUCCUACGGGAGGCAGCAGUGGGGAAUCUUGGACAAUGGGCGCAAGCCUGAUCCAGCCAUGCCGCGUGAGUGAAGAAGGUCUUCGGAUUGUAAAGCUCUUUUGCCAGGGACGAUAAUGACGGUACCUGGAGAAUAAGCCCCGGCAAACUUCGUGCCAGCCGCCGCCGUAAAAC